GAUGAACGCUGGCGGCGUGCCUAAUACAUGCAAGUCGAGCGAACGGACGAGAAGCUUGCUUCUCUGAUGUUAGCGGCGGACGGGUGAGUAACACGUGGAUAACCUACCUAUAAGACUGGGAUAACUUCGGGAAACCGGAUCUAAUACCGGAUAAUAUUUUGAACCGCAUUGUUCAAAAGUGAAAGACGGUCUUGCUGUCACUUAUAGAUGGAUCCGCGCUGCAUUAGCUAGUUGGUAAGGUAACGGCUUACCAAGGCAACGAUGCAUAGCCGACCUGAGAGGGGGAGCGGCCACACUGGAACUGAGACACGGUACAGACUCCUACGGGAGGCAGCAGUAGGGAAUCUUCCGCAAUGGGCGAAAGCAUGACGGAGCAACGCCGCGUGAGUGAUGAAGGUCUUCGGAUCGUAAAACUCUGUUAUUAGGGAAGAACAUAUGUGUAAGUAACUGUGCACAUCUUGACGGUACCUAAUCAGAAAGCCACGGCUAACUACGUG
rnacentral:rRNA from 1 species